CGGACUUUGGUAUUGUUCUGGAAUACGUUCUGAUAUGCAUGCCUUUCACUCCAUUACACUACAUUCACUUGAUCGGAAAGCAUGGUACUCGCACUCGUCUUCAUAAUUGCGUCUCCUCUGGUUUCAAGUUAGCCUUUGAAAGCAUCGUUGGUACGUUAUCUGUAUUGCUAUGUUAAGGGGGUUUGAUGUAUAAUGAGAUUAAGGAAACUUUGUAAACAAAUUAGAUGGAUGGAUAUUCUUACGUUAGCAAGCCAAUUUAGUAGCUAAGCUAAUUUUACAGCAUUCUGUUAUUCUCAUACUGAAAUGCUGUACUUCCAUUCCUCAGUUUUACCCUACUUCACCUCACCAUAAAGAGUGAACUGUAACUUUUCGUCUGCGUGGUUUGAUGGAGAGGAGUUUAUACCAUCUGUCAACCCUGGCAAGGUGCUGGGGGUACUGCAAUCUCAGUAGAAGUCAUGGGUGAAAAAUGCAGGAACCCCAAAAUUGCACAUAUACAUAUAUAUAUAAAUAACAUGGUAUAAGCAUUUCAAGAAGUAUUAAAAACACACAGGGUAAAGAUAAGUGCUGGCAGAUAAGUGCAAAAUAGAUUAAAUGAAUAAAUAAAAAAAUAGGAAUAUAAAAAAAGAUAAAUAAGAGAUAGUAAAACCAUUCACACAUCCAUACCAUCCUUUCACAUAAAAGAAGCCUCCAAUGAAUAAGAGGGUAAGGGUUAGGGUUAUGGGUAGCAUAGCCCUAACCCCCGUCCCCGAGCCCAAUGGACGCUGUCCUGGGUCGUCUGGAGUUGAAGGAGAGACCGUUGUUUAAGGUGACCGCAUCGGGGGUCCACCUCCUCUAUGCUGUCUCUCACAAAGCUGCUGAAGGCCUCAGUGCAGUGGAGCUGGUGAAGGGAUAGCUCGAUGGAAACAGAGAGGAGAGGAAUGACGAGACGGGCCUGAGGGACUUCAGCUCUGGCUGUUCCAACGCGACGUCGAUGUCUUUGAUAACGGUCUCCAGUCUACUAUGGAUGAGGAGAGAGAGGAGGGGGGUCCUACCUCUAAGACCACUCUGUCUGGGGAACAUGGCCGCCGGAGCAAAGCUAAGAGCCCAGAGCAGCAGCAGAGAGCAGACUCCCCUGGACCCAGCUGUGUCUCCAUGUAGAGUGGCUGGUCUAUGGAUAUACCAUUGGUGUUUAAAGAUGGACGCCCCCCCAGAGAGGAGAGCCCAGAGCAGCAGCAGAGAGCAGACUCCCCUGGACCCAGCUGUGUCUCCAUGAUGAGUGGAUGGAACAUCCUCUAUGGAACAUCCUUUUAACUUUAAAGAUGGAAAUCAGUCUAUUGAGAAAAGAAGAGUCCAGCAGCAGAGAGCAGACUCCCCUGGACCCAGCUGUGUCUCCAUGAAGAGUGACCACUCUAUGAAUCAUCCUGCUGAGUUGAAAGAUGGAAAUCAGUCUAUUGAGAAGAGGUGAGGAUUCAUUAUAUAUCAUAAAGGUACAGCUUCAAUAUUGAAGACGAUCGCGUUGACUUCUGCGGUCUGUUCUGCCUUCGUGCUGUCUGCGUCAAACCAAAACAAACCUGAGUGACAGCGGCCGCACUUGUCCCGCCUCCUGCGAAUUUACGUAAUUUCCCUCCCCUUGCAAUGCCGGCGCUGGCACUGGCCGCGGGAGCAAGAUGUUAUUCAAACAAAAAUGCAUCAAUCAUUGUUUUAUUCUUUCAUUACACAAUUUCUUUCAUUCUUAUAGAUAAAAAAAUAAUAUAAAUACAUAUAUAAAUCUAGCCAACUUGGUGUCGAAAACAAAUUCAGGUGUUGCUAUGGCAACACCCUGGCGCCCGCCACUUCUCAGAGGUCUUCUCAGGUCAAGUACAGUUAUAAAAUAUCGUUGAUAAGAGAUGGACAUAAGAAAAUUCCUUGGGAAGAAAAGGGCAGAGCAAGAACAAGCGGUGGAGAGUGUGGCAUCAUCUCCCGCAACCCCUUGAUGAGAACCCUUGGAUCAGCUCUGGUUUGUGAAAAGCAGCCAGUCGAUAGCUUAUUUUGAUUGAUUAAUGCUGGUCUGGUGUUACUACCUAGUAGCUAGCAUAGUAGCGCCGCCUGUCUUGUCUCUCUAGUGGUCGUUCAUUCUAAAACACCACAAUCUGUUGAGAAGCAAAUGGUUGCAGCCUCUAUAGGCUUACUGUGGCGCUGAUGUGAGUACUGUAUGCAUGCAAUACUACUACUCAUAGUAAUAAUCUCAGAGGGUUGAGAAACAGUAGGACAAUCCAUUCUAGCUUCGUACCUCAUUUUGAAAAUCCCCAAAAAA